rnacentral:rRNA from 1 species
CGAGGGGAGUGAAAAAGAACCUGAAACCGUGUACGUACAAGCAGUGGGAGCACGCUUAGGCGUGUGACUGCGUACCUUUUGUAUAAUGGGUCAGCGACUUAUAUUCUGUAGCAAGGUUAACCGAAUAGGGGAGCCGAAGGGAAACCGAGUCUUAACUGGGCGUUAAGUUGCAGGGUAUAGACCCGAAACCCGGUGAUCUAGCCAUGGGCAGGUUGAAGGUUGGGUAACACUAACUGGAGGACCGAACCGACUAAUGUUGAAAAAUUAGCGGAUGACUUGUGGCUGGGGGUGAAAGGCCAAUCAAACCGGGAGAUAGCUGGUUCUCCCCGAAAGCUAUUUAGGUAGCGCCUCGUGAAUUCAUCUCCGGGGGUAGAGCACUGUUUCGGCAAGGGGGUCAUCCCGACUUACCAACCCGAUGCAAACUGCGAAUACCGGAGAAUGUUAUCACGGGAGACACACGGCGGGUGCUAACGUCCGUCGUGAAGAGGGAAACAACCCAGACCGCCAGCUAAGGUCCCAAAGUCAUGGUUAAGUGGGAAACGAUGUGGGAAGGCCCAGACAGCCAGGAUGUUGGCUUAGAAGCAGCCAUCAUUUAAAGAAAGCGUAAUAGCUCACUGGUCGAGUCGGCCUGCGCGGAAGAUGUAACGGGGCUAAACCAUGCACCGAAGCUGCGGCAGCGACGCUGAUGCGUUGUUGGGUA